UGAGAACAAGCUGUUAAGCACUUCAUUUACACUGAAAAGGUACUUGAUAACAAUCAAGGUUCUUAA
rnacentral:tRNA from 1 species